AGAGUUUGAUCAUGGCUCAGGACGAACGCUGGCGGCGUGCUUAACACAUGCAAGUCGAACGGUAAGGCCCUUUCGGGGGUACACGAGUGGCGAACGGGUGAGUAACACGUGGGUGAUCUGCCCUGCACUUUGGGAUAAGCCUGGGAAACUGGGUCUAAUACCGAAUACACCUUGCUGGUCGCAUGGCCUGGUGGGGGAAAGCUUUUGCGGUGUGGGAUGGGCCCGCGGCCUAUCAGCUUGUUGGUGGGGUGAUGGCCUACCAAGGCGACGACGGGUAGCCGGCCUGAGAGGGUGUCCGGCCACACUGGGACUGAGAUACGGCCCAGACUCCUACGGGAGGCAGCAGUGGGGAAUAUUGCACAAUGGGCGCAAGCCUGAUGCAGCGACGCCGCGUGAGGGAUGACGGCCUUCGGGUUGUAAACCUCUUUCAGUACCGACGAAGCGUGAGUGACGGUAGGUACAGAAGAAGCACCGGCCAACUACGUGCCAGCCGCCGCGGUAAUAC
rnacentral:rRNA from 1 species